rnacentral:ncRNA from 2 species
GUCCACAGGAUCGGGAGAAUCCGGCGCGGGGGCAACCCCUUGCCGGUGCCGAAGGAGCAACCGCCCCGGUAAACUCUCAGGCGCAAGGGACCAUCCUGUACGA